rnacentral:lncRNA from 1 species
AUGAAGUAUGGGAGUGAGAAGUGUGGCAGUGAGCAUAUUCCAGAGAAUAAUAAAGCAAAGUAUUUAAAUGUUCCAGGGAAUUCUAAAAUAACAUCCAGUAGCCCAGCAAUUAAGGAAGAUGGACUACGGGAAAGAGCAAAGCAAGCUUUUAAAGCUGAAAAUGUUGAGUCGAAGCAGUCUUCUGUUGAUGCUAUAGAAGAAGAUGGUGACACUUUGAAACUCCUGCAGCCUCUAUCAAAAGACCAAAAGCAAACUGACCUGAUCUUGGAUUCUACUGAAAAGCUGCUAGCACCGUUUGUUCCUGUUGUCUUUCAAAAUGAUGUCUGUCAUGGAGCUUCGGGAGAUUCUCAGGAAAAAAUUACUUCCCACUUGCAGCCUCUUAGUUCUGUCAGUGAACCCUCUCUCUCACGGCAGCGACGGCAGAAGAAAAGAGAGCUAGCUGAAGUCUGUUCAGAGAAGGGGCAG